UUGACGUUAUACGCGUAAUAGCAAAAAAAAUUUAGUGUAUUAGAGUGUACACCAUUUUAAUCAGUAAGUACCCCCUAGUGAUGCAAUAUCGAUAUCGAAAUAUCGGAAAUAUCGAUAUUUUGGUAUUAAUAUUUCGAUAUUUUAUAUCGAUAUCUUACAAACGAUAUAUCGAUUCAAAUAUUGAUAUUGGUCUGUCGAUAUCGAUAUUUUCAGUAUGGACAAAGACUAAGUUUUUUUUGCGUUGAGGUUUUGCACAUUGAACUACAUAUCGUUUGUCGACACACGUUUACACCGCCAUGUGAUUCUACCCUUAAGCUUUGUGUGGCAGAUUGUGAACUUAACGUUAAUGUAUAUCGAAGCACUGCUUCUGACCGUAAUUUGUAUUUAUAUUCUAUGCAUGUAUUCUGUGUAUUUGUAUGUCAAGUUUUAGUCAAGUUACAAGUUACAAACAACUGAACGUUUAAAAUUAAUGCAUUGAUGUCGUGUAGUUAAUUAAAUCGAACUAAUUUUAUAAUAUUUUGAAUGAUCACUACGCAAAUAGAAGGAUAAGAACAAUUAAAAAGGUACGUACGACUAAAAAUUUUGACUUUGAGCGCAAGAAACAACACGAAUGAUAAUUUUUAUAAACUCGAGUAUACAAAAAAUAUUAUUAUUAGAGAAUAAAAUUCGUUCUAUUUACCUUAUUUUAUCUUAACUGAAAAUUCCAAAAGCAUUGUGAAACUUGAAAAAAACUUUUUUUUGACAUUUUACGUGACAUAACCUCCAAGUGAAUAUAUAUACAUUUGAUCCACAAAAUACAAUAAAAUCGUAUCAUUUUUAUAUUUCAACCUCAUUUUUAUAGAGAUUUAUUAUAAAUUAUUUGUAUUAAACGUUGUGUUAUUAGUGAUUGUUAUAAUUUCUUAUUUCGCGUUAUUAAUUCGUUAGCUAUACAAUGUAAAAAAAUUUUCAUUCGAAAGAUUAUAUUUAUAGUGUUAAUAAUUCAGUAAAUAUAUUGCUACAAGUUUAAAUAAUUAAUAAUUAAAUAAUUAAUUUACAGAUCACUAAAUUCUAUGCAUUUAUAAAAUGAGCGGUGGUCCAAGUCCUGUGCGAAAGCACUUUUUACCUACAGAUAAGAAAAACCUCAUGCAAUGUAAAUAUUGCUCAGGUCCUCAUUCGCUAGUAAAAUGUUCUGGAAACACUACAAAUAUGUUUAACCAUUUAAAGGCGAAUCAUGUUGAGAUCUAUAACGCUCUUAUGAUAGAAAUUGAUGAAAAAAAAUCCAACCUCAAACGGAAACACGAAAAUAAGGAAAAUUCAUCGUCGACUAACAAAUCAACUAGUGCUCAAAACAAUGAAUCUGUUAGUUCUAGUGCAAGCGAAUCUUUGACGACUACUGAGCCAAGCGAACAAUCAGGCAGGGAAAAUAUUAAAUAUUCAUUUAAAAAUAUUUCAUCAUUUCAAGAAGGAGGCACUAAACACAAAAAUCUAACAGAUAAAAUCUUAUUUAUGAUCUGUGAAGAUAGUGAACCGUUUUCAAUGGUAGAAAGAAAGGGAUUUAUAAAAAUGAUGAAAUAUGCAGUUCUGAAUUAUAAAGUACCUUCUAGACAAACGUUUAUUAAUCACUUGGAUUCAAAAUACGACACAGUAUCUCAAAAGUAUAAGAUACUUCUGAAAAACGUAACGUGCGUAACACUAACUACAGAUAUUUGGACAGAAAGUAAAAACACACGGAGCUUUCUUGGUGUUACCGUUCAUUUUCGUGAUAAAGAUCAAUUUAUGUCGGGAAUACUGGGUGUACAUGAACUGACUGAAAGUCACACUGCAAUAUACAUCAAAGAAAUACUCGAAAAAGUAUGCGCAGAAUGGGAAAUAGAUAAAAGUAUUAUCACAGCCAUCGUUACUGAUAAUGCGGCAAAUAUGGCGCUUGCCGUUGAAUUAUUUCUUGGGAAAAAUCAUCGCUUGGGAUUUUGUGCUCAUACUAUAAAUUUAGUAGCAACGGAUUCUAUCAAGAAAAUUGACGGAUUGGAUAACGUGAUAAAAAAAGUAAAAACUAUUGUAACAUGGUUCAAAAGAAGUGUCAACGCUACCGAUUUGCUGCGCAAAAAAAGUAAAUUAAAAUUAAUUCAAGACGUUGAAACACAUUGGAAUUCUACGUUUUACAUGAUCGAGAGAUUCAUCGAACUACGAAAAAUUGUAAACGAAAUUUUAGAUGAUUUUUCCUCAGCGCCUCCUGCGGUUACUGCUGCCGAAUUAGAGAUACUAAAAGAGCUGACAAAUGUACUCCGUCCUUUGGAAUCAGCUACGAGAGAUUUGUGUGGUCAAAAAUAUGUCACAACCAGCAUGGUGAUACCACUAAUAAAUGGAUUGCAGAGAGAGUUGGAGAAUCUAGUUCUUGAACACCAAGUAGCUUCAGUUUUGAAAGAAAAUCUUUUAAAAGAAAUUCUUCGCAGAUUUGGACUCAUGGAAUCCUGCCACUUUUUUGCUAUUGCUACAAUCUUAGAUCCGAGGUUCAAAAAAGUGGUGUUUAAGCAACCAACAGAGUGUGCACGUGCAAUAAGUCAAAUCAACAGAUUAUUUCUGGAAAUCAAGAGUAACAAUUCUACUGAACGAGAACUCGAUUCUGAUGGAGAUACGAAUAAUGAGUCAGAAGAAAGUAAAGAAAAGUCUUCACUUUGGAAAUAUUGUACAGAUUGCGUGCAAAAUGCCAAACGAGGAAGAAAGGAGCUAUCGGAUAGUGGCUAUGCAGAUGAACUAACGCUUUAUCUUCGAUCUGAAGUUUCUCACUUCGAAACUGAUCCUAUACGCUUUUGGGUGGAAAUGGAGCAUAUUUACCCUACAUUAUCUCAGAUUGCGUUGAAAUAUCUGACAGUAGUUGCUACAUCAGUACCUUCAGAAAGGUUGUUUUCGAAAACUGGCAUUUUAAUGAACGAAAAGAGAAACCGACUUGAAGGAAGUAAACUUCAUAAGCAACUUUUUUGGGAGCAGUCGACGAAGCUCUUUGGUAAAUUAAAGACCGUGUAUUCUGCGUGAAGACCUUGCGUUUAAAGUAAAUCCUUACCUUUAUUUCCUUACAUUUCAUUUUUGUAACAUAUUGAAAAUCUUACAUUAAGAACCUUAAGAUAAUGUAAAUUGUUUUCUGUUCUAGGAUAAUUAAAGCGUUUAAUGGUUCUAAUAAAAUUCGCAAAUCUCGAAAAAAGGUGGCUUCGGAUCUAGUGCAGUCAUUUGCAAUUGACAGUACAUAUUUUGAUUGAAGUUUUAUGACCCGGAAGGAUGAUCGGCAAGCGAAUAUGAUGAGUUAUAAAUAAAUUUUGUAAUUCUAUUUUUGUAAUUUAAUAUUUCUCUCUUAAGAUUAAAAUAAAAAAUUUCACAAUAAUUAUUGUACCAUAAAUAUUGCUUUAAUUAUAUGUAUCACAUAUUUAAUUACUUUUAAUUUUAACUAAACCUUUAUAAAUAAUAGUUUUGUAGAAAGUUUUAAAAUUACAUCGAUUAAUCGAAUAAUCGAUAUUGUUGGUACGAUAUAUUGGUCAUAUCGAUAUUCACUAUAAGCAAUAUCGAUUUAAUCGAUAUCGAUAUUUUUGUUUCGAUAUUGCAUCACUAGUACCCCCUCGAAUUUUUUUUAUAAAUAAAGUUACUUAUAUAAUUAGUACAUUUUUUAAUAUUUUAAAAACAAGAAAUAUAUUUGAUAUUUUUAUUUAUUACAAUUUUCUCAUUAUAAUAAAUAGAGUAUAAAGUGUGACAUAACAAAAUAAAAGGUCCCCACCCCCCCUUUGUCACAAAUAGUCACAUUUUCAUAGAGCCCUCCCCCCUAAAAAGUGUGACGUAAUUUAUGGACGAAGCCAAAUAAAAAAAAUAGA